GACGAACGCUGGCGGCAUGCCUAACACAUGCAAGUCUAGGGGUAGCAAUACCACUGGCGCACGGGUGAGUAACACGUAGGUUAUCUGCCCCCAUCACAGACAUAACCCCGGGAAACCGGGGCUAAUAUCUGAUGAGGUCGCGAGAUCAAAGCUUCGGCGGAUGGGGAUGAGCCUGCGGCUGAUUAGCUAGUUGGUGAGGUAAUGGCUCACCAAGGCGACGAUCAGUAGCUGGUCUGAGAGGACGAACAGCCACACUGGAACUGAGACACGGUCCAGACUCCUACGGGAGGCAGCAGUGAGGAAUAUUGGUCAAUGGGAGCAAUCCUGAACCAGCAAUGCCGCGUGUGGGAUGACAGGGCUUCGCCUUGUAAACCACUGUCGGACGGGACGAAAGGAGGCCUCGGGCCUCUGGGACGGUACGGUCCAAAGGAAGGGUACGGCGUAACUACGUGCCAGCAGCCGCGU
rnacentral:rRNA from 1 species